AUUGAACGCUGGCGGAAGGCCUAACACAUGCAAGUCGAACGAGUGGCGGAAGGGUGAGGAAUGUCUGGGAAACUGCCAGAAGGAGGGGGAUACCUACUGGAAACGGUAGCUAAUACCGCAUAACACCGGAUGUGACCAGAUGGGAUUAGCUUGUUGGUGAGGGAACGGCUCACCUAGGCGACGAUCACUAGCUGGUCUUAGAGGAUGACCAGCCACACUGGAACUGAGACACGGUCCAGACUCCUACGGGAGGCAGCAGUGGGGAAUAUUGCGCAAUGGGCGCAAGCCUGAUGCAGCCAUGCCGCGUGUAUGAAGAAGGCCUUCGGGUUGUAAAGUACUUUCAGCGGGGAGGCGUUACCCGCAGAAUAAGCACCGGCUAACUCCGUGCCAGCAGCCGCGGUAAUUC
rnacentral:rRNA from 1 species